AUAACAAUAGUUUAAUAAAACAUUGAUUUGUGGUAUCAAAAAUAUAUUUA
rnacentral:tRNA from 1 species